rnacentral:lncRNA from 1 species
GCGGGGAGAGGGGCAGCCCGCUCGCGGCCCUCCCGCCUGGCUCUCGCCUCGGCCUGCGGCCGGGAUCCUCCGCCCGGGUCGCGCAGCGGAGGCCGAGGGCUGGGACGGGCGGCUGGGAAGUGGGAAAGGGAGCUCCUUUUGUCUUCUCUUCCCAUCCCCCAGGUUUGGGAAAGUUUUCCUUUUGGGAAAGCCCCUCUCUUCAGCCUGCUGGCGGGUGUCGGAUUGGUUAGCGACCACCGGCCCCCGCCUCCCCCAACAGGAUUCUCCUUUGGGCCACAGGUCUUCCGGAAGUUGCCAAACCCCGGUAGCGGCAGCGUCCGGCUGGGGGCUUUAUUAGGGGGCACCGGGGUCUGCUUUCCGACUCCCUUCCGACUCCGCGCCUGCGCAGGAAGCGAUUUGGGGAGUGUUGUGAAUUCCGAGGGCUCCACACUUAAGAGGUUGUACACUCACCUGUCUACCUGGACUCCAAUUUCCAUAUUUCCAGCCACUUGAGGACUGAGAGGUGGAUGAUAAACCCUGUCAUAGUGGAGCAAGUUCAGGUGUUUAACCGCUGUUAUGGGGGAUCUGCCUUUUCUCCCUCUUCUUUCUUACUUCCAUAAGUAUGUAUGUGCAGAGAUUGAAAAAUAACCUUGAGAGAGUCCAUCCAUCUAACUCCAGUUCAUUGGAAAUUUCUGCUUCUUUGAGACUGAGGUUAUAUUCCACUUCUUCUGACUACACCACCACCAUCAAUCUCCUUCUCUGAACUCUUGGAUCAUUACUUCAACCUGAAACAACUCAUCAGGCAGAAUAGUUGCCUACUGCCCCAACCCCACCAAAUGUUCCAGCACCUCUGAUAUUACCUCACAUGGCAAGAGGGCUUUGAAGAUGUGAUUGAGUCAAGGAUCUUGAAUGGGGAGAUUAUCCUGAAUUAUUCAGCUGGACCCAGUGUAAUCACAAAGGUUUUUCAAAGAUGGAAGAGAGGCAGAAGAGCCAGAAAAGGAUAUGUGACAAUGGAGUCAGUGUCAGAGUUGGAGUGACGUGAUGUGAGAAGGAUUCAACCUGCUGUUUCUGGCUUUGAGGAUGAAAGAAGGGGCCAUGAGCCAAGCAAUACAGGUGGCUUCUUUCAAGAAGUUGGAAAAGUGGUAAUAUUUUAUGUUAUUUUGGUUUGAUUUUUGUUUGUGGCAUAUGGCUCUGCUGUCCUGUGACUCUAAGUAGAAGAGAAAAUAGUGCCAAUAAUUCUUCAUGGAGAUGCACCUCUCUCAAGUCUUGAACAAUGUUUGAGGAGGAAGUGGUUCUCAGAUAAUUGACUAAUCACUUCUUCAUGGUCGUGAACUCAAGGACUUACCUGUUAUGAGGGGAGAAGCAUAAUAAAGAUUACAUCAUGUGAACUUUUGAAAUAAAAUGCCCGAAGACAUAAGAGAGACCCUUACCACUGUCACACUCAAAAGGAAAGCUUAGUAGCUACAGAGAUUUAAAAAGCAAGCAAACAAGCAACCAAGCAAACAACAAAGACCUGAAGAAAAUUCCAGAAUAAUCCUCAACCUGUGCUUUCACAUGCUAAAUUUUCAUAAUGAGAAAGAUAAACUGUGUAUCUUGUGGUGUCAGUGGUCAGUGUGGUGAUAGUAGUUGUGGUUUGGGCUGCUUUUUUCCUUGUUUAUUUUUUCCAAAUUUUAUUUGGGAAAAUUUCUGCUGUUUCCAUUGUGAACUAAAGUUACAUAUACUGGAUGAUAUAACUUUAACUCCUAAGAGUAUGUUUGGCUAUGUUUUUGGAAUUAGGUAUUAUGCAUGCCACCUUGUGGCCAUUAUUAAGAAAACACCUAACAUGAAGACGAGAAACAGGAUCAUUAGUGAGAGCAGCUUGAGCUUGGAGCAGUACUUUCCCAAGUCUGUUUCUCCAACAGCAUCCUUAGAACCCUUAGAACCUGGAUAUCACAUUUUAGUGGGAGGAGACAGACAAUAAAUAAAACAAAGUAUAGUAAGUGCUCUGGAGAAAAGUAAUGCAAAGAAGAGGGCCAGAAAGUAUCAAAAAGUUUGAAAUUACAAAUAAGGUACUCUUGGAAGACCUCACUAAGGUCACAUUUGAGCAGAGAUCUGAACAGCAUGAGAGACAACUGGGGGUGGGGGGGGGCAGAAUAAUGUUUCAGAUAUGUACAUUGCAACUGCAAAGGCCUGAGACAGGAAUUUGCCUGGCCUGUUCCAGCUUAGCAAAGAAAGAGGCCUGUGUUAAUGAUACUCAGAGAGGAAGGAGGCAAUAGUAGAACAUGAAGCCAGAAAAGUGACCAGAUGCAGGAGUGACUAAGGCUUUGUAGACUGCUGUAUAGACUCUGAGGGAAAUGAGCAGUCAUUGAUGGGUUUUUCGCACAGAAGGAUCUUGGUGUGUUUUAAAAGGAACAUUCUGUAUUCUAUGUUGAAAACAGACUGAAAAGCACAAGAGAAAGAACAGGAAGAGCAAUUAGGAGGCUGUGGUAGAUUAUUAUUCAGCAAAUAUUCACCCUACUGUCCUCCCCAUAAGAUUUCCCCAGGCCACCAUCACUGGAUUUGGCUAUUUGACUUGCUGUAGUCAAUGGAAUGUGAGUGAAAAGUGACUCUGUACCAGUGGGGAGGCAAAGCCUUAAAAGACCCAGCAAAUUUCUUCCAGCCCUUUUGUGCUUCUGCCAAAAGAAUACUGUGAGCAAUCAGUGCCCUUAAGCCUGGGCCUCAGAACGAGAGAUAUGGAGCAAACCUGAACCUGAACAGCAGCCUACAAUCAAGCCAGGAUGACCCUGCAAAGCCCAGCCAACGAUAGCAAAGCCACAGCAGACUUGUAGACCAAUGAGCAUGAAAUAAAUUGCAUUGAAAGCU